UGAACACUGUGGUGGCAUCACGUGGCAUCAAUUACAGUAGCCUAUCAAUAAUUUGACCAAUGGCACUUUGGGAACAACAAUAGCCUGGCUACACCAGUCCACGCCCAAUGAUCAAAGGCGUAAACGGCUCUGUUGGGUUAAAGCCAAGUCGUUCAUGUCCAUUAAGCCACUUGGUUAGUAAUCUUCGUGUCACCAAAGCACGGAUGCCAUCGAACACUGUGAGAUCACUGAGGCCGCGUAAUGCGCCGCGAAUGGUAGCGACCUUGCCACCAAGACAUGGGCCGCCUGCACUCACCCAACCGACGGUUUCGCCUUUGACCUCCGGGCCUGCCGGCCAUCCCGCGGCAACCGCUCCACGCUCGUCAGCAACCCGUCGCUCCGCUCGUAUCGCAGGACAAGCACCAAGAACUACAAGGCAGCCCAGGCCUACUGUUAUUGCUCCUCUGGAACCUAAUUCACCAUCACAGGCCGCCCAGACACGACACCCUAAAAGUAGGGUUGGAGGUGCCAACAGAAGUAGACCACCACCACUGCGUUUAUAUGAAACGGUGGGACCAUCUUCAAGAAAAGGUACCUUGUUUAAAGACCACGAGGGACCUCGCGCAAAUGCUCCUGGGAAAGCAACACAGAGAACCCUGUUUGGUAUUUUGAAGAGUCGUGUGUAAAGCCUUUGCCAAACAAUGGAAACGAAUGAACUACGUCGAUCAAAUAAACAUUUCCAAUUCAUCA